rnacentral:rRNA from 1 species
GCUGCGGGAUCCUUACCAUGCAGUCGAACGGCAGCACGGACUUCGGUCUGGUGGCGAGUGACGAACGGGUGAGUAUGUAUCGGAACGUGCCCAGUAGCGGGGGAUAACUACGCGAAAGCGUAGCUAAUACCGCAUACGCCCUACGGGGGAAAGCAGGGGAUCGCAAGACCUUGCACUAUUGGAGCGGCCGAUAUCGGAUUAGCUAGUUGGUGGGGUAACGGCUCACCAAGGCGACGAUCCGUAGCUGGUUUGAGAGGACGACCAGCCACACUGGGACUGAGACACGGCCCAGACUCCUACGGGAGGCAGCAGUGGGGAAUUUUGGACAAUGGGGGAAACCCUGAUCCAGCCAUCCCGCGUGUGCGAUGAAGGCCUUCGGGUUGUAAAGCACUUUUGGCAGGAAAGAAACGUCGCGGGUUAAUACCUCGCGGAACUGACGGUACCUGCA